rnacentral:lncRNA from 1 species
UAGAAUGAUUUUCAGACUUCGUAUAAAGUCUAACUGAAUCAGAUAUAUUCAGAGGAUCUGGAGUUUAUUAUAUGUCCACAUUCAGUAAACAGAUCGAAGUUACUGGUACGUUCCAUGCUAGCUCCAUCCUGACUGUCGUCUGUGUCCAAAAUCAUAGCCGUUGGUGGUGGCAAGAACUCAUACAGUGGAUAAUAUCAACGGCGCAAUCCUGAAAGCAUUUAUCUGGCGUAGAGAUGCAUUUAACAACACAAGUGACUGCUUUUCUGCCACAAGUGAUUGCAGAUUGGCCUUCAGCAUGCUGGAAUAGUACGGUGGAUGAAGAAUUGAGUACAAGUAAAGCUAGAGAAUGAAUUGGUAAAGU